rnacentral:lncRNA from 1 species
GAUCAUCAAUGGUGGCUGACAUCACAAAAGAGAGACAACCAGAUAGUACAUGUCCUCUGCUAUGGUUUGGAUGUGUCCCCCUAAAGGUCAUGUGUUGGAAACUUAAUCCCCACUACAACACUGUUGGGAGGUCAGGCCUAAUAAGAGGUGAUUAGGUCAUGAAUGGAUUAACGUCAUUACCUUGGGAGUGAGUUAGUUAUUACAGGAGUGGCUUUUUUUUAAUAAAAAGGGCGCUGGGACAUGGUAUCGUAAAUGAUGCCAUGGGGAUACAGUCAGCAAAAUCCAGACUAUGGAAGACUCUACGGGGCAAAUGACUUGGCUUCUUUAACCAAUUCUCUGAGGAAGAAUGAGUAAGUAAGAGAGAAAAAAAGAGCAGGAGUGUGCUGGAAUGAGAACAUAUAGCCUGAAAAAGUCAAAGAAAUAAUCAACCAAUUGCAAUAUGUAGACCUUACUUGGAUACUGUCUGAGCCAAACAAACUGUAAAAUGAAAGAUGGCAUUUGUGAAACAACCGAAAUGUUGAACAGUGACUGGGACCUCAACAACCACCAAUUUCAUCUGUGCAGACAACUGAGACCCAGCCUGCUAUUCCAGUGAGCCGUGGACUUGCGGUGGAUCUUUCUCCUGUCAGCCCAUUCCCCCAGCCCUGGCCCGGAGGCAGCAGAUUUUGUGCAAUAAGCUCUGUUCAGGUUGACCGGCUAUUGCUCCUCUGAAUUCAUAAGAUCUGUUACUUGCAGCACCCCUUUAAGAACAGAUGAUGUCCCAGUUCCCAGUGGGACUCCAGGAACAGUAUCUGGAUGGCUUCUAAAGAACUCUUUUUCCAGCUGGAACCCAAACCCUAGGUCAGCUCCACUGUUUCCUCCCAAUGCCUUUGGUCCUAUCGCUCCUGCCACAAGGCACAGGGAAGGGCCUGGCUGGAGGGAAAGGCAGUUCAUGCAGUUCCAACUGCCUCCCAGCCCUGACCCCAAAUGUCAAUCAGGCUCCCGUGACAAGACAGGGCCUGCAGUGUCCUAGAAGAGUGGACACUAUUCCUGAGGCCAGUGCAGAAUCUCUGUUCCAGUGGGCAGUUGGAAAAUGAGGAAUGUCACCCUUUAUUGCAGCUUACAUAUUUCAUGCACCUGCACCUUUCUUUCUGAUCUUUCCAACACGGAAUGGCCUGAUUUCCAUGCACCAUUAGAGGUACGUGGCCUGGACUAAAAUGUCAGUAACAACCAGGACAACUGCGACCAUGAGAAGAGCUGCCAUUUAUUCUGCAUGGACCUUGUGCCAGGUGCCGGGGAGGGCCCUUUACACCCAUGUUCCAUUUUAAUCUGACAGUCACUUUAGUAGCUGGGUAUUGCUAUCUUCAUUUUACAGGGUGAGAAGGCUUAGGGCACAGAGAAGUGAAGUAACUUCCCCAACGUCGCACAGCCGGUAAGGGGAGAACCAGGGAAUUGCCCCACUGCACCCCCUCCUGAUGUCUUGUUUCAAAUCCCUGGCACGCCCCAGCUACCCCUCCCCUUCUACAGUCACAACAACUCAUAGUACUUUGGGGAGCCCAAGAACCGCCCAUGGCAAAACACUUCAUACAGAGCAAGGGCGGGCUGAGCCUGAUUUAAAUUGUAGUUCUUCCUUUUGUUGCAAGGGGAGGGAAAAAGUGCGAUGAAGGAACGUCUCCUCUGCUUAUCUCUCCCUCGCACAAACCCAGCGAGGGCAGUAAUUGAUGCCUUGCACAUAGCAAGGUUGACAGGACCGCCACAUGGAACCUCAAGAAGCCACGGCGACAGCCCGAAUCUCACAGGAAGGAACUGGCUUACUAACUUUCAACCUGGAGACUUCCUCUGACUUGUUUACAGGGGUCUUCACGAUUUGGGGGACAAGGAGCAAGAAAACUGGUUACAAGCAUUCCGUGUCCUCCCCCACACCCCGCAGCCCGGCCACUCUCAGCUGUUUAUGAAAAGAGGGGGAAGAGAAGGCUGACAGGCCCGGCCCAGGCUGCAAUCUGCCAGAUAUGAAAACCAAUUGCUUCUCAUAAUACAUUCCAGCUAGAGCCAUACGAAUAAUAAGGACAAGGAGAAGGUAGCACCAAUUUGCUUUAUUUGAUUAGCUCCUUCUUGGGCGGUCCAAUCCCAGCUUCUUUUCAUUAAAAUAAGGGCAAAUUGAAAAUCGUAAAAGAGGUUUUCUUAUCAGAGAACAAACGACUAGAUAGAUUUGUCGGCCUAAAAGCCCCCCACAAGCCACCAGACGGCCGUGAUUGCUCCUGCUUUUGCCGUGUUCAAUGGGCAGGGCCCAGAAGCUGGUGCUUCCGAAGAGCUUCGUUCCCAGAGAUUCAGCGUGUGCUUUCAU